rnacentral:rRNA from 1 species
GACGAACGCUGGCGGCGUGCUUAACACAUGCAAGUCGAACGGAAAGGCCUCUUUCGGGGGGUACCCGAGUGGCGAACGGGUGAGUAACACGUGAGUAACCUGCCCUUGACUUUGGGAUAACUUCAGGAAACUGGGGCUAAUACCGGAUAGGAGAUCCUGCUGCACGGUGGGGGUUGGAAAGUUUCGGCGGUUGGAGAUGGACUCGCGGCUUAUCAGCUUGUUGGUGGGGUAGUGGCUUACCAAGGCUUUGACGGGUAGCCGGCCUGAGGGGGUGACCGGCGACAUUAGGACUGAGAUACGGACCAGUCGCCUACGGGAGGCAGCAGUGGGGAGUAUUGCACAAUGGGUGGGAGCCUGAUGCAACAACGCCGUGUGCGUAAUGACGGCCUUCUGGUUGUAAACCGCUUUCGCUCAUGACGGAGCUUUGUGUGACGGUAGUGGGUAAAGAAGCGCCGGCUAACUACGUG